GGGAGAUAGAAAUCCGAGUUCAAAAUAAAAGGAACAAGUAAAAUCCAAAUUAUAAACCAACAUCCUUGAUCACAAAAUCAAUUCACGAGCAGACUUAUGUUCAGAUCUCAAUUUUACAUUUUCAGUAUCUUUUUUUUUUUUUUUUUUUGAAUCGAUUGUAGGCUCAGAUCUGUGCAAUCAAGACGAAAUGCUAAACCGCCAUGGCUGCUAACAAACAGUUGUCACAACAAGAGAGAAAAUAUAGAAAAAUGGAGAAAAUAGGAAAACAUUUUUCCAUUUAUUUUGCUUUUCUUCUCUCAUAGACCUCCUGUUGGUUGCCACGCCAAGAUACGGCAAGCUCAUGGUCUCAAUUUUUGUUUUUCUUCGAAAAAUCAUCACAGCCUCGCAUCUUCGUAGAGACGAAAUUCCUCUAACAUGAUCAAUUUAGAGAGAGAGAGAGAGAAAGAGAGAUGGCGAUAGAAUCACCUAUAAAUGUUUCUUUGUACCAUAUGAAUGUGUGUGUGUGUAUAUAUAUAUAUAUAUCUAUGCAGUUUGAUGAAGGGUUGUUUGUUGUUUUGUUGAAAUCAUCGGCCAGGUUGCAGAGAGGGGUAAC
rnacentral:lncRNA from 1 species